rnacentral:lncRNA from 1 species
AUUGAUGUAUGAAUAUGGUGGAGGCCCAGAUGACUCUCUUCAUCACAGCUCCGUUCAACUAACUGAAGAAUAUAUUGUUUCAAUGUCGACCCUUCUGAUGAACGGCAAAUAUGAAGACUGCAGUAAAGUCGGGUUAAACCCCUUCUGCAAACUUAACCCAGCGCCAGAGGUAAGAAACUCAUGACCUCUUUCUCUUUGUAUUUUCCUCAGCAGUUUUAAAUACCUGCAUGACCUUGUUUACUUGUUCACAUGCUAAAUCUGACUUUUGGAAAGCCAAGUAUGACCAUGAAGCCGCCAAGAAGGCUAGAGCCACCACCAUAAACGCCAAGAAAAU